CCUACGGGAGGCAGCAGUCGAGAAUCAUUCACAAUGGGGGAAACCCUGAUGGUGCGACGCCGCGUGGGGGAAUGAAGGUCUUCGGAUUGUAAACCCCUGUCAUGUGGGAGCAAAUUAAAAAGAUAGUACCACAAGAGGAAGAGACGGCUAACUCUGUGCCAGCAGCCGCGGUAAUACAGAGGUCUCAAGCGUUGUUCGGAAUCACUGGGCGUAAAGCGUGCGUAGGCUGUUUCGUAAGUCGUGUGUGAACGGCGCGGGCGCAACCCGCGGACGGCACAUGAUACUGCGAGACUAGAGUAAUGGAGGGGGAACCGGAAUUCUCGGUGUAGCAGUGAAAUGCGUAGAUAUCGAGAGGAACACUCGUGGCGAAGGCGGGUGCCUGGACAUUAACUGACGCUGAGGCACGAAGGCCAGGGGAGCGAAAGGGAUUAGAUACCCGAGUAGUC
rnacentral:rRNA from 1 species